AUGCUGUACAUUGAUCACCUGUCCAACCUUUGCCUAGAGUGUGAUCCCCAGUUCCUUCAAGAGAUCCAUCUUUACCUGUCUAUAAAGAAGAAGAGGAGGAGGGAGACAUCUGGGAUAUUCAAGCAUCAAACUUUAACGCCAGAGCAGUUGUCAGAGGAACUAGUGAAAGAGGAAGAAAAAAAUGUAGCACCGGAAGCUAACGAUGAUAAUCUAUUGCAUUGGAUCUCUAAACAUGACCAUGAUAUCCUGGAGAAGAUCACAGAUGCAGAAAAUUAAUGCUAAGGUUGAUAUCUAAUGUAAUGCUGCAUUAAUUGGCAUUUUCUCCAUUAUUUCUUGUAGUCUACUAUGAAUUUAGAUACUUUGGAAAAUAAUGAAGGAGACUCAAUCAGAAAUUGUAAGAGCUUCAUUUCUGUCUUUAAUGGGUCUUGGAAGUUAUUCUGUUUUCACAAAGAAACCAUCUGUUCAGAAUAGUAUUGUUUAAUGAAGUUCAGUUAAGCAGAUUAUGUAACUAAUUUUUGGUAAAUUGAUAUUGAUUUUAAUAAGUAAUUCAGAUUCUCUUAGAUGUGGUAUCUGCAUUUGCUGAUUUUACCUAGUCUCUUCUAAAGUAUCACUUCUAUUGCACUAGAUUAUCAAAGAGGUAUUAGUAAAAUGCUAUAUAAGGGUGUUGGCAUUAAUCUUACCCCCAGUUAGAUGUGGGCUUUUCCAAAAGAUAAAAUCCAAGCCUUUACCCUCCUCUGUUUUCUUAUAUCUACUGAUAAAAUAAUAAUAAUUUUUUAAAAAUACCAAAACUAAAACCAAAAAACUUUGAUAGUAUAUCCGGUAUUAAGCUCUGGGCCAGGUUGGAAAUGAAAUCAAUUUUUGGUACUAAUAACUGAUGACAAAGAUUAGCUUUAUGAAAAUAUGGUGUGUGUCUCUGACAAUGCAUAGGACAUCUAAUUUGAGCAUAAAUAUAAGAUUAUAUACAAAAUGUGUCUAUUUCUGGGUGGUAAAAGCUUGAGGCAUAUAUAAAUACAUAUGUAUGUAUAUAUAUGGACAUAUACACAAGGAUGUGUCAAGCUUUUACCAUCCAAAAGCAUACAGGUUUUCAACAGUAAAAGCUGGGACUCUUUAAAAAACAAAACAAAACAAAACAAAAUAUAAGAUUGCUGUGAAUACAGUGUAUGCACUAGGUCUCCUGUAAAUGAGGAACUGUUUGUUAUUGUUUUCUACAUUGAAAAACAGUCUCCAACAUGGAUCCCAAUGAAUCCGAUAUGCUAAAGAAAAUACCAACGAACAAACAGCACUUAAAGGCUGUUUGCAUCCACAAAAUGUAUCUAAUGAAAUAAAUUUAAAUCACAUUCAAGGAAAACUAAAAAU
rnacentral:lncRNA from 1 species